CUGUAAAGGCAGACUUUAGUAUGAGACUAGAUUCUAUCUCCAGAAACAACAUUUAAGUUUUAUCCCUUAUGCAGAGUAUCCAGUGGCACAACAUUAGGAAUCCAUCAUCAUUAUAGUGGAUCACUAUCAUAUUCCAUUGAAAAUGCCUACUGGAAGUCAAGAUACAUUUGUUGCCUGUUGACCUAACCUGGAUCAUACUGCAUAAGGAUGCUACUGUUUCCAAAGCACUUUGACAUUUCAGAUAACAUAUUGGAAAAGGAGUAUAAUUUUUAAAGGAAGAGGCUUUUGUGAGAGCAUUGACAUUUAAAGGACAGCAGAGAAGAUCCUGAACAGAGACCUGAGUAUAAGCUACACAGAGAGCGGAAAAAACCUUGCGAAUCCCUGCAUGCUGUAUGAAUUUUCUAUUACAGCAUACCAAAUCUACAAACUCAGCCCGAAAACAACACACGUUUACCUCACUUUUUCUGAAGAUUUCCUAGUAAAGCUCACCACUGGUGCAACUCAGUUAAAAGCCAGGUGGCAUGGGAGUCCUGCAGACAUAGCCCACCUCUGUCAGUGUCCUGAGUCAAGAGCAGGACUGGCAAGGUUGGAAAGUGGAUGUGGAGGAGCAAGGAAGAGAGAGCUGUAUUUAGAAGAGUUUGAAUUGUUUGCAGCAUACAUUGAUGAACAACCCAGAAAAUGUCCAUCUGAGCUCCAAAGAACCUGUUAAGACAAUAUUUCAGGAAAGAUAGAAAGAUAAACGUCUUGAAAACAGCCAGAGAAAACGUGUCACAUUAUUUACAGAAGAAUAAUGGUGCAAAUAACAGUGAAAUUCCCAGGAAUCAGAAAAAAUGAAUGUCGGCACACAUGGACCAACCCCUUUAAGGAAACUUGAGUGAUGUUUUUGGAAUACCUGUGCAUCAUAUGCACUAUGGAAUGUGCUAUGGAGCAUAAAAAUACAGUGUCCUGGUCUGAAAAGAAGGAUACAGACAAGAAAUUGAGUCUUGUUUCCUGAUUAUUCAUCUUGUGGUCUUUGGAUAAGUCAUCUCUUGUAUCUUCAGUGCCUUCAGAACUUUACACGCAUCGGGAGGAUUAGGAAUGAUGAACAGAAAGUGCCUGGCAGAAGAUAUUCACAAAGAAAAUAAGGAUCCUAAUACUAACUACAACAUUGGACUAAACUUGUGUGACCAUCCCCAUUCUACGUGAUCCAUAAAUCCGAGCUUAUAGUUUAUACAUCAAGGACUUUCCAUUCUAUCCAGUAAAAAUCGGCACAGUGAAUUCUCACUAUUUGAGCUUGCCUGUGACACCCCUGCAACUUGGACUAAUAAAUAUCCAUUUGUUUAAUCAAUAACAUUCAAAGCUAAAGCGUUUGCUGAAAUCUAGAUUCAUAUACUCCAAACUGGGAGUAAGUACAAUUUUCACACCUUAAAUUUAAAUAUUGAGGAAGAAAUCAUUUCAGAAUUGUGAAGAAACUCCUAAGGAUGGGGAAAGGGCUCCUGGAUCUGAAUAGCACCACAGAAACUGUUCUGGAGUGGAUCGGAUCAUAGCAAAGCUUCCACAUGCCACUUUUAACAUGGAGAAGUGGCAUUUCCAGGAUCAUUCUGUGACCAGGACUUGAG
rnacentral:lncRNA from 1 species